rnacentral:rRNA from 1 species
GAACGCUGGCGGCGUGCUUAACACCUGCAAGUCGAACGGAAAGGCCCUGCUUUUGUGGGGUGCUCGAGUGGCGAACGGGUGAGUAACACGUGAGUAACCUGCCCUUGACUUUGGGAUAACUUCAGGAAACUGGGGCUAAUACCGGAUAGGAGCUCCUGCUGCAUGGUGGGGGUUGGAAAGUUUCGGCGGUUGGGGAUGGACUCGCGGCUUAUCAGCUUGUUGGUGGGGUAGUGGCUUACCAAGGCUUUGACGGGUAGCCGGCCUGAGAGGGUGACCGGCCACAUUGGGACUGAGAUACGGCCCAGACUCCUACGGGGGGCAGCAGUGGGGAAUAUUGCACAAUGGGCGGAAGCCUGAUGCAGCAACGCCGCGUGCGGGAUGACGGCCUUCGGGUUGUAAACCGCUUUCGCCUGUGACGAAGCGUGAGUGACGGUAAUGGGUAAAGAAGCACAGGCUAACUACGUG